rnacentral:rRNA from 1 species
GAUAGCGGCGGACGGGUGAGUAACGCGUGGAAAACCUGCCCUAUACAGGGGGAUAGCCUCGGGAAACUGGGAUUAAUACCCCAUAAAACUCUAGUAUCUCAUGAUACAUGGGUCAAAGCCUAAGCGGUAUAGGAUGGUUCCGCGUCCCAUUAGCUAGUUGGUAAGGUAACGGCUUACCAAGGCUACGAUGGGUAGCCGGCCUGAGAGGGUGAACGGCCACACUGGAACUGAGACACGGUCCAGACUCCUACGGGAGGCAGCAGUGGGGAAUAUUGCACAAUGGGCGCAAGCCUGAUGCAGCGACGCCGCGUGAGCGAUGAAGGCCUUCGGGUCGUAAAGCUCUGUCCUAAGGGAAGAAUUUUGACGGUACCUUAGGAGGAAGCCCCGGCUAACUACGUGCCAGCAGCCGCGGUAAUACGUAGGGGGCGAGCGUUGUCCGGAAUAACUGGGCGUAAAGGGUGCGUAGGCGGCCUAGCAAGUCAGGGGUUAAAGCCCUCGGCUCAACCGAGGUAAGCCCUUGAAACUGUUAGGCUUGAGCGCAGGAGAGGAGAGCGGAAUUCCUAGUGUAGCGGUGAAAUGCGUAGAGAUUAGGAAGAACACCAGUGGCGAAGGCGGCUCUCUGGACUGUAGCUGACGCUGAGGCACGAAAGCGUGGGGAGCGAACAGGAUUAGAUACCCUGGUAGUCCACGCCGUAAACGAUGAGUGCUAGGUGUCGGGGUCGACAGGCUUCGGUGCCGCAGUUAACACAUUAAGCACUCCGCCUGGGGAGUACGGUCGCAAGACUGAAACUCAAAGGAAUUGACGGGGGCCCGCACAAGCAGCGGAGCAUGUGGUUUAAUUCGAAGCAACGCGAAGAACCUUACCAGGACUUGACAUCCCUUGGACCGUUCUAGAGAUAGAACCUCCCUUCGGGGCCAAGGUGACAGGUGGUGCAUGGUUGUCGUCAGCUCGUGUCGUGAGAUGUUGGGUUAAGUCCCGCAACGAGCGCAACCCUACCUUUAGUUGCCAGCAGGUUAUGCUGGGCACUCUAGAGGGACUGCCGGUGACAAACCGGAGGAAGGUGGGGAUGACGUCAAAUCAUCAUGCCCCUUAUGUCCUGGGCUACACACGUGCUACAAUGGCCGGUACAACGGGCAGCCAACCCGCAAGGGGGAGCUAAUCCCUUAAAGCCGGUCCCAGUUCGGAUUGCAGGCUGCAACUCGCCUGCAUGAAGUUGGAGUUGCUAGUAAUCGCGAAUCAGCAUGUCCUGGUGAAUGCGUUCCCGGGCAUUGUACACACCGCCCGUCACACCAUGAGAGUUGUAACACCCGAAGCCAGUG